GAUGAACGCUGGCGGCGUGCCUAACACAUGCAAGUCGAGCGACUGAGCGGCGGACGGGUGAGUAACGCGUGGGUAACCUGCCCUGUACAUAUGGAUAACAUGCUGAAAAGCAUACUAAUACAUAAUAACGUACAUUGAAGGCAUCUUCGAUGUAUCAAAGCGUUAGCGGUACAGGAUGGACCCGCGUCUGAUUAGCUAGUUGGUGGGGUAAAAGCCUACCAAGGCGACGAUCAGUAGCCGACCUGAGAGGGUGAUCGGCCACAUUGGAACUGAGACACGGUCCAAACUCCUACGGGAGGCAGCAGUGGGGGAUAUUGCACAAUGGGCGAAAGCCCGAUGCAGCAACGCCGCGUGAACGAUGAAGGUCUUCGGAUCGUAAAGUUCUGUUGCAGGGGAAGAUAAUGACGGUACCCUGUGAGGAAGCACCGGCUAACUACGUGCCAGCAGCCGCGGUAAUACGUAGGGUGCUAGCGUUAUCCGGAUUUACUGGGCGUAAAGGGUGCGUAGGUGGUCUUUCAAGUCGGUGGUUAAAGGCUACGGCUCAACCGUAUUAAGCCGCCGAAACUGGAAGACUUGAGUGCAGGAGAGGAAAGUGGAAUUCUCGGUGUAGCGGUGAAAUGCGUAGAUAUUGGGAAGAACACCAGUAGCGAAGGCGGCUUUCUGGACUGCAACUGACACUGAGGCACGAAAGCGUGGGUAGCAAACAGGAUUAGAUACCCUGGUAGUCCACGCCGUAAACGAUGAGUACUAGGUGUCGGGGGUUACCCCCCUCGGUGCCGCAGUUAACGCAUUAAGUACUCCGCCUGGGGAGUACGCACGCAAGUGUGAAACUCAAAGGAAUUGACGGGGACCCGCACAAGUAGCGGAGCAUGUGGUUUAAUUCGAAGCAACGCGAAGAACCUUACCUAAGCUUGACAUCCCUCGGACCGGUAGUUAAUCCUACCUUCCCUUCGGGGCCGAGGUGACAGGUGGUGCAUGGUUGUCGUCAGCUCGUGUCGUGAGAUGUUGGGUUAAGUCCCGCAACGAGCGCAACCCUUGUCUUUAGUUGCCAGCAUUUAGUUGGGCACUCUAGAGAGACUGCCAGGGAUAACCUGGAGGAAGGUGGGGAUGACGUCAAAUCACCAUGCCCCUUAUGCUUAGGGCUACACACGUGCUACAAUGGGUGGUACGGAGGGUUGCCAAACCGUGAGGUAGAGCUAAUCCCUUAAAGCCAUUCUCAGUUCGGAUUGUAGGCUGAAACUCGCCUACAUGAAGCUGGAGUUACUAGUAAUCGCAGAUCAGAAUGCUGCGGUGAAUGCGUUCCCGGGUCU
rnacentral:rRNA from 1 species